CCAUUCCGGGCGCCGUCUGCCCGGCCCGCCAGCUUACAAUACAGCCUGGCGGGGCUACCAAGGGAUCCCCACAAGGGCCGGCUGUCCCCGCCGUUGCUCUGGCUGCUGUUGAGGUACUGGGUCAUGUCUCCAAACGCUGCGGCACCCCUCGACUGCGUUGGCGAGGUAAAUAGUAUUCCCCAAGCGUACCGUUCUUCAUAGCACAGCACUGCCGGUCAAGGGACAAGACAGGCGGAGCAUUCCACAAGCAGAGGCGUGGAUUGGUCGAGCUGAGGGAAGGACGAGUUUGCUAAUAAGGUUACGUCGAUGAAUAAGGCGGGACAGGAAACCAAACUCCUCUUCGAGUUGGCUACAACGAAUAAACUGUAUGUAAAUACACUCCGGUGCCUUACGUUACGUAACCCGUCUUUAGUUUUCUCAGGACCACUGGAGAAAGGAAAGAUGUUGGUUCUUUGGCGCCUUCGUCUCUGAUAGGCUGAUAGGAAAGUGUGCUCACGGUCAAUCGUCGCCUGCCUGUGGGACGCCAAAGCCUGCUCCAUAAAGACUGGCGGGAUUGCCUGGGACACUCCAUCUGUCCACUGGAAGAUACAAGGCCCACAGGCCCAGAGUUCUGCCAUGAGAAAACAACUCUGAAUUUUCUCCUAAGAAGUGUUGAGAUUUGACUGUCCUGAUUGGAAUGAGACGGACUUUCGGUAGUGCCUCUUCAACAAAGACAUAGGAGACAAGGUGAUUUAGUCAACAAUACCAUCAGAGGCUAAGCAUCCUGGGUCCAUGCUUAUACUUAUAAAAUCAGUGAAGAUAUCACAUCAUUUCAAAUUUUGUACAAGCUUUUUAAAGGUUUGGACUGCACAAGCAAUUUAUAGGAAGAAUGGAAGAAGAGCAGAAAGGAAGACCCUCUUCAUGUAAAAUUUGGGGAACUUUGUGGAAAUUGAUGAACUCAUGUAUAGACUGUAUGACUGUCUUUUGAAUUGUAAUUUUGUAUGAAGACUGAUAUUAAUAGAGUUGCAUUUGUAUUCUUUGGCUUAGUUA